UGGGGCGUAGCCAAGUUGGUAAGGCACGGGACUUUGACUCCCGCAUCCGUAGGUUCGAGUCCUCCCGCCCCAG
rnacentral:tRNA from 1 species